GAAACCGAAAACUCGGCGGCCGAGGCUCCGUGCCCCGCGCGCAGCGCUGCUCCUGCCCCGGCCAAGGACGCACGGGCCAGCCGGCGGAACCAGAGGUAAGCCGAGUGACCGAUGAGGCCUGGGGCUGUGUAUCCCACAGGGGCACUUGUCAUCCCAACCCAGAGGCCAAACCCGUGAGAUCCCCGUCCGAAAAUCUUCAGGCAAGAGAAGUCCUUUAACUAAAUUUUGGCCGUGUUUCCAUUUGGCGUCCAGAGCAACGAAAACGUGUUUGAACCGAAUCAAACGGUCCCCAUUUUUCCCCUACUCGCGUUCUAUCCAGAAACGCCCUGUCCGACAAAGUUUCUUCGGCUACAACAGUCCCGAAACCUUUAUUUCCCAAUGCUACGACAUGCUACACAUGGUUUACUUUUCCCCUUAAAAAUGCCAUCCAAUCUUCAACCUUUUUUUUUUUUUUUUUUUGAGACGGCA
rnacentral:lncRNA from 10 species